CCAAGACCACCAGACCAAGACCACAUGUCUGUGCCCCCAUGUUACAGGUCACCAGGUCACCACAAGUCUUGGUCGAGCUCACGCAGAGACAUCGGAGAACUUGCAAGCGCAACCCACCGAACCUCGAGCCACACAGGCUCAGCCCCUGAACCAGGGCUCUGAUACCACUGUAGGGAUCAGACAUAGAUCGGAUUCACUAUUUACCAAGACCUCUUUGUUCUUCAUUAGGGAGCUCAGUCAAACUCCAACAAAGCGACUGAUAUUACAAGCAAGUUUACAAGAAAGCUUGAUUACAGAACAAGAGACGAUCUAGCUAUUACAGACUAGAGAGUUAAUCACCUACCACUUGGAGUCUUCUAUACCCUGCACACUCACAAACCUGAUUAGUAAAAACUAUAAUAAUCCUUUCGGAUCUAAGUCAGAAACCACAGGUAAGAGAGAAACAACACAUAAAGAACACUUCAAGAAUGAGUCUACGGCUCAGACACCCGCCAUAGGCUCAAGCCUAUUCUCCAGAACUUAGAUCCAAUAUUGUGGUGAAGCAAACCAUAUCCCACAUCGGAGAAUGAACAAGAGUUGCAAGCAUAUAAAUGGGCUACCCCAACUCCAUUAGUAUGAGGCCUUUUGGGGAGUACCCCAAGAGCAAAACCGUGAGGGCUUUUGCCCAAAGCGGACAAUAUCAUACUAAUGUGGAGUUCGGAUGUGCACCACCGAUACCCAACACUAGCCAUUGUAGGAUUUUAGUCUCUCUAUUCGAUGGGUAUGUGUUUGGUGAAUUGCGAGUAUUUUUCCUAGCUACUUAGAAGAAGACAUGAUGGUGAAUCAUGGUGUUACUUGCUGUGUAUUGUUGAUUACUGAUUUGAGCAGAUCCUACUUCCUCUUUAGAUAUGCAUAUGCGUGUUCUUAUGUGCAAGAAAGGAAAGGUUUGUUGUUUACCUUGAUGAUGGUGAGGAAAGUAAAGUGUUGGGUUGUAGUGUUUGCGUCUACAAUCGUGUGAAAUCUCCCUCCUCGGACUGCUCUAUCCACGUUGGGUUGGUGUGUGCAGAGAAUUUAGGAUUUGAUGGUGAUUUGGGAAAACAAAUAACAUCCAUAGUCUUCCAUGAUGAUGUACCGGACAUUCUUGGAGUGCAAGCACGACCGUUGAGCGAUUGCGUGAACUUUUCUCUAAUUGUAAUAGAUAAUGAUUUGAUAAAUUUGUAUAAUAGUAAUUUAGCGGACUUCGGAGAUAUGCCGGACAUUAUAAAUUUUUAUUUGGUGUUACUUUUUUUUUACUUGAAAUAUUCGUUC